ACCCUACGGGAGGCAGCAGUGGGGAAUAUUGCACAAUGGGCGCAAGCCUGAUGCAGCCAUGCCGCGUGUAUGAAGAAGGCCUUCGGGUUGUAAAGUACUUUCAGCAGUGAGGAAGGUGGGUAUGUUAAUAGCAUACUCAUUUGACGUUAGCUGCAGAAGAAGCACCGGCUAACUCCGUGCCAGCAGCCGCGGUAAUACGGAGGGUGCGAGCGUUAAUCGGAAUUACUGGGCGUAAAGCGCAUGCAGGUGGUUUGUUAAGUCAGAUGUGAAAGCCCGGGGCUCAACCUCGGAAUUGCAUUUGAAACUGGCAAACUAGAGUACUGUAGAGGGGGGUAGAAUUUCAGGUGUAGCGGUGAAAUGCGUAGAGAUCUAGAAGGAAUACCGGUGGCGAAGGCGCCCCUGGACAGAUACUGACACUCAGAUGCGAAAGCGUGGGGAGCAAACAGGAUUAGAUACCCCGGUAGCGUAG
rnacentral:rRNA from 1 species